UAUGACCAAUAGUGCUGCAGCAAACAUCUUUAUACACUGAUAUCUAUGUACUUACCCAAGCAUUUUGGGAGAUAAGUUCCUGGAAAUAGAAUUGCUUGGUCAGAUGGUAUUGGCAUUUAGCAUUUUGAUAAAUAUCCCCCAAAUUUCCUCUAGAAUGUUUGCAACAAUUUACACUCCCACGAGGAUGACUAAGUGUGCCUGUUUCCCUACCUGCUCUUACUCUGUAUCCAGGCCCUGACUGGGGAACUAGAGAAUGUGUCUCUUGCUUUAGAAAGACAUGGUGCUAAAGACCUUGCCUCAAGCUCUUACCUUCUUUUAUUUUCUCUCUACUUUUCAUAACUGUGGUUUAAUUCUAGGACAGGAAAAAAGAAAUAUGCCUGUUUGGUUUUCAGGAAGUUCCUCAAAGAUCCAGGAAUUCUGCAAAUUAUGAGCACGUAAAUUACAGAUAAACCGUUCAUUUAGUCCCAAAAGGUAACAGCCCUGAGGCAGGAAGAUGCUUCCUUUCAGACCCUAGAGAUGGAAACAUUCCUUCCCCAUGUUUCCGUGUGAACUGCUCCUUUGCUCACACGUGCAUGAGUCUGUGCAUUGUUCCUGCUUGCAGGCCUGCGUUCACCAACAUUUACUCUAAGUUUGCUCAGUUCUGGGUGCUGUGCUAACCCCUGUGGCUAUGGGAAUGAAAUGCAGUUUCUGCCUUCAAGAAGACCACAAUCUAGCUUCAAGAAAAAACCGAAGAGGAGACCCGCAGGUGUAAUCGAGGGCAGAAGUGCUGCUUUCAUUCACAUCAGUGCAGGGUGCCCCAAGAGUGAUGGACUGGGCUGAGUGCCCACCGGAGGGCAAGGGCUACAGAAAAGACCAGGAAUAUGGUUCUGGGAGGGCCCACGCAACUACCACAUCUAACCCAGUCAGGGAGGAAGUGAGGAAGAAGCUGGGGACUGGGCAUCCCGAAGGGUAAUCUUUGACCCGCAGCUCUGUUAGAGGCAGGAAGGUACAUUUCGUAAAUAUAGUUUUGUUUUACUCUUAGUUUUUUAAUGAAAAUUUUUGAGUGAAAAAAUUCUCAACCUUGUCUUUGCUGAACAAAGAGAAGCUGGAAGAGAUAAGGAGAUUAUGAUGUCAUCUGUCGAAAUUGGCAAGACUCAGUACCUCUGUCCCUGUGGGCCAGCAGCUGAGAUGUCUCACUUUGUUGACCUAUAGGAACCCUGUGGAGAUGGGGUGGGUAUAGAAUGCCAGGAGGGUGAGAGUCAGAGUCCGCUCUAGAAUGAACAGUAACCCAUUUUGUUGUUUUUAUCCUAGUUCAGACCUGUGGACAAAUACAUUUAUAGAUAACUCACAAGAAUCAAAUUUGGAAACAGCCUAAAUGUCCAUACACAGGAGAUAAAUUAAAUAAUACAUGGUGUGUCAGGUGUGACAUCACAAAGCAAACUCCCGGAUGGCACCGACUGAAUCCUUUAUCAGCUUCGUUAGCACUGAUGCCAGAAUGAAACUGGCCCAGCAGCCUCAUCAAAAUUUCCACGCUAACGGGUAGACCCUUGGGAAUGAAGCUAUUCCAGGUGCAGAACGGGGUCCAUUUGACCUAGAAGCUUUGGCAGAGGGAGCAGACACAGUAUUCACUAUGUUGAUUCGAU